rfam:Triticum urartu cultivar G1812 contig6028, whole genome shotgun sequence.
CAAGUACUCCCUCCGUCCCAAAUUUUUUAUUUUAGAUUUGUCUAAAUAUGAAUGUAUCAAGUCACAUUUUAGUAUUAGAUACAUCCGUAUCUAGAUAAAUUUAAGACAAAUUUUUUGGGACGAAGAGAGUACGUG